rnacentral:rRNA from 1 species
UACGAAGGGUGCAAGCGUUACUCGGAAUUACUGGGCGUAAAGCGUGCGUAGGUGGUUUGUUAAGUCUGCUGUGAAAGCCCCGGGCUCAACCUGGGAAUGGCAGUGGAUACUGGCAAGCUAGAGUACGGUAGAGGAUGGUGGAAUUCCCGGUGUAGCGGUGAAAUGCGUAGAGAUCGGGAGGAACACCCGUGGCGAAGGCGGCCAUCUGGACCAGUACUGACGCUGAGGCACGAAAGCGUGGGGAGCAAACAGG